UACGGAGGAUCCAAGCGUUAUCCGGAUUUAUUGGGUUAAAGGGUAGCGUAGGCGGCUUUUAAGUUCAGGGGUGAAAGACGGUGGCUCAACCAAUCGCAGUGCCCUUGAUACUGAAGAGCUUGGAAUGGACUAGAGGUAGGCGGAAGUGUGACAAGUAGCGGUGAAAUGCAUAGAUAUGUCACAGAACACCGAUUGCGAAGGCAGCUUACUAUGGUUUAAUUGACGCUGAGCACGAAAGCGUGGGGAUCAAACAGG
rnacentral:rRNA from 1 species